AGAGUUUGAUCCUGGCUCAGGACGAACGCUGGCGGCGUGCCUAAUACAUGCAAGUCGAGCGGAUUGAGGGGAGCUUGCUCCCAUCAGUCAGCGGCGGACGGGUGAGUAACACGUGGGUAACCUGCCUGUAAGACUGGGAUAACUCCGGGAAACCGGGGCUAAUACCUGAUAACUCAUUUCCUCGCAUGAGGAAAUGUUGAAAGGUGGCUUUUAGCUAUCACUUACAGAUGGACCCGCGGCGCAUUAGCUAGUUGGUGAGGUAAUGGCUCACCAAGGCGACGAUGCGUAGCCGACCCGAGAGGGUGAUCGGCCACACUGGGACUGAGACACGGCCCAGACUCCUACGGGAGGCAGCAGUAGGGAAUCUUCCGCAAUGGACGAAAGUCUGACGGAGCAACGCCGCGUGAGUGAUGAAGGUUUUCGGAUCGUAAAGCUCUGUUGUUAGGGAAGAACAAGUACCGUUCGAAUAGGGCGGUACCUUGACGGUACCUAACCAGAAAGCCACGGCUAACUACGUGCCAGCAGCCGCGGUAAUACGUAGGUGGCAAGCGUUGUCCGGAAUUAUUGGGCGUAAAGCGCGCGCAGGUGGUUUCUUAAGUCUGAUGUGAAAGCCCACGGGCUCA
rnacentral:rRNA from 1 species